rnacentral:rRNA from 1 species
AUUGAACGCUGGCGGCAGGCCUAACACAUGCAAGUCGAACGGUAACAGGAAGCAGCUUGCUGCUUCGCUGACGAGUGGCGGACGGGUGAGUAAUGUCUGGGAAACUGCCUGAUGGGGGGGAUAACUACUGGAAACGGUAGCUAAUACCGCAUAACGUCGCAAGACCAAAGAGGGGGACCUUCGGGCCUCUUGCCAUCGGAUGUGCCCAGAUGGGAUUAGCUAGUAGGUGGGGUAACGGCUCACCUAGGCGACGAUCCCUAGCUGGUCUGAGAGGAUGACCAGCCACACUGGAACUGAGACACGGUCCAGACUCCUACGGGAGGCAGCAGUGGGGAAUAUUGCACAAUGGGCGCAAGCCUGAUGCAGCCAUGCCGCGUGUAUGAAGAAGGCCUUCGGGUUGUAAAGUACUUUCAGCGGGGAGGAAGGCGAUAAGGUUAAUAACCUUGUCGAUUGACGUUACCCGCAGAAGAAGCACCGGCUGACUCCGUGCCAGCAGCCGCAGUAA